rnacentral:lncRNA from 1 species
ACAGAAGGUAACAAGGCUAGCAGGAAAAGCUGGAAAGAAAUCUACAGCUACAUAUCGCUACACUAGCAUGAUCUACACUAACCAACUGUAGUAAAAGUCACAACUGACUCAAUCUCACUAGGGACUGUGAACACACCCGUCCCGCCUGUCGGAUCGAACCCGUAUCCUACUCCAGGAAUAGCUGGUGGAGAAAACUCUCUAGGGACUGUGAAUACACCCGUCCCGCCUAAUUAGGUGACACCGUAGCUCAAGAGUAACUGGCGGAGAAAACUCUCUGGAGACUGUGAAUACACCCGUCCCGUCUACUAGAAUACGUCGUAUUUCAAGAGUAAUCGGCGGAGAAAACUCUCUAAAGACUGUGAAUACACCUGUCUCACCUAAUUAGACUACACCAUACCUCGAGAGUAGUCGGUCCCAGAAAAAGGUCCAACAGGAUGGUUAAGACUCCACUCACGUCACAACCUCACUAAAGGUAGGGAAAAACGUCACUCACUAUCUCACCCGGGCUGCCCAAAACGGACCCACCCUACCUGUAUCUAGCUGCGCCGUACACCACCCCGAGGGUAGCCGGCUCAAGAACUGUCCAACAGAAACUGCGACACUUAUCGCACUGAAAC